UAAAAACAAUGCAGAGAGGUAAAGGGCAGGAAAAAUAAAAAUUGGAAAUAAAUCACUGCCUCCAUAAUGUCUUUGUCUGAUGUCGUAUCAACCUCUUCUGUGGAGCCUCCAGUGCUUGGCUUCAAUUGAUAAACCCACGUGGUAAAAUAUGUGAAAGUGAACAAUUCUACUUGGGCAAUUUUUUUGUUUUCUUACUCUGCUCCAUGGGCACAAUGUACU
rnacentral:lncRNA from 1 species